AGUGCCAGCACUUAGGGGAAAGGACUACGGCAAGACUAAAAUGCGUUAUUCGGACUACACAGAGACAGAAGCAGGUCUUCAGUAUAAGGACUUGCGAGUAGGAAAUGGCCCCAUACCAAAGAUGGGAGAGACUGUAGUGAUGGUGGAGACUGAGUUACAGCAGAGGGCGAGUGAGAGAGUAGAGAGGGUGACGUGCGACAGUGGGUCGGUGAGCGAGAGAGUGAGAGGGUGACUGAGCGGUGAGGCUGAGAGGGUUGGGGCCGGCGUCGGCGACGGUGACGGUGACGGUGACGCUGAGAGAGUGAGAGAAGGAGAGGGUGAGUGAGAGUGGGUCGGAGACUGAGAGAGGGGUUUGAGAGAGACAGAGGUCAGACCGGUGAGGCUGAGAGGGUCAGUGGGUGAGUGGGUCGGCGUCGGCGACGGUGACGCUGAGAGAGUGAGAGCAGGAGAGGGUGAGUGAGAGAAGGAGAGGGUGAGUGAGAGUGGGUCGGAGACAGAGAGGGGUUUGACUGAUGAGGGAGAGUGAGAAUGGAGAGAGCGUUAAAUUCAAAAAAUGCCUAUUAGAAAUCGAGUGCCUGAGACUCGAUUUCCAUAUCUAGUCCACGUGGAAAUCGAGUCUUAGACACUCGAUUUCCACGUGUACUCCAACGUCUUUUUUGCCAUGUCAAAGCACGUAAACCGAGCCUCAAAGGCUCGAUUUAGAGGGCCAAAAUCGAGCCUCUGAGGCUCGAGUUGCUAGUUUCCCAAUUUCUUUCAAAACCCAGCCAACUAACUGAAUAGUUACGUUUUUAUGGGUAAUUACCCAUU